rnacentral:misc_RNA from 1 species
AAGUCGUAACAAGGUUUCCGUAGGUGAACCUGCGGAAGGAUCAUUAUUACGUAUCCACGUAUCAAACCAAAUCGUGAACUGUUUCCCGUCUGAUGAGGAUUUCUGCGAGUGUUUGAACAUUUAUUAAAUGCAUGGUGAGGACUCCUAGUCGCAAGACUGGUUUCUUCGAAAUGGCGCUCGGUCCUGGUUGCCCUCUCGGGGCUUCAGCCAGCUCAUUAGAUGUGGUUGAAUUUCAAUCACUAUGCUAAAACUAUUAACCCCUUGUAAAACACUUGAACUAAAUUACGGAGACAAGACCCUUAACCAGGAAACUAUCUCUGAUAAACCGAAACUUAAGAAACAACUCUUAACAACGGAUAUCUUGGUUCUC